UACGUAGGUGGCAAGCGUUGUCCGGAUUUACUGGGCGUAAAGAGCGCGCAGGCGGUCGUUCAAGUCGCGUGUGAAAGCCCCCGGCUCAACUGGGGAGGGUCACGCGAUACUGAUCGACUGGAAGGCAGGAGAGGGUAGUGGAAUUCCCGGUGUAGUGGUGAAAUGCGUAGAUAUCGGGAAGAACAUCAGUGGCGAAGGCGGUCUGCUGGGCCGUUGCUGACGCUGAGGCGCGACAGCGUGGGGAGCAAACAGG
rnacentral:rRNA from 1 species